AUUGAACGCUGGCGGCAGGCCUAACACAUGCAAGUCGAGCGGAUGAAGGGAGCUUGCUCCUGGAUUCAGCGGCGGACGGGUGAGUAAUGCCUAGGAAUCUGCCUGGUAGUGGGGGAUAACGUCCGGAAACGGGCGCUAAUACCGCAUACGUCCUGAGGGAGAAAGUGGGGGAUCUUCGGACCUCACGCUAUCAGAUGAGCCUAGGUCGGAUUAGCCAGUUGGUGGGGUAAAGACCUACCAAGGCGACGAUCCGUAACUGGUCUGAGAGGAUGAUCAGUCACACUGGAACUGAGACACGGUCCAGACUCCUACGGGAGGCAGCAGUGGGGAAUAUUGGACAAUGGGCGAAAGCCUGAUCCAGCCAUGCCGCGUGUGUGAAGAAGGUCUUCGGAUUGUAAAGCACUUUAAGUUGGGAGGAAGGGCAGUAAGUUAAUACCUUGCUGUUUUGACGUUACCAACAGAAUAAGCACCGGCUAACUUCGUG
rnacentral:rRNA from 1 species